rnacentral:rRNA from 1 species
UACGUAGGGAGCAAGCGUUGUUCGGAUUUACUGGGCGUAAAGGGCGCGUAGGCGGCGCGACAAGUCACUUGUGAAAUCUCCGGGCUUAACCCGGAAAGGUCAGCCGAUACUGCGGGGCUAGAGUGCAGAAGGGGCAACUGGAAUUCUCGGUGUAGCGGUGAAAUGCGUAGAUAUCGAGAGGAACACCUGCGGCGAAGGCGGGUUGCUGGGCUGACGCUGACGCUGAGGCGCGAAAGCUAGGGGAGCGAACGGG